rnacentral:rRNA from 1 species
CUAAGGCUCCAGAGGAAGCCACGGCUAACUCUGUGCCGGCAGCCGCGGUAAUACAGAGGCGGCAAGCGUUGUUCGGAAUUAUUGGGCGUAAAGAGCACGUAGGCGGCCUUGCAAGUCAGUUGUGAAAGCCUUCCGCUUAACGGAAGAAUGCCAGCUGAUACUACAGGGCUUGAGUACGGGAGGGGAGAGUGGAACUUCUGGUGGAGCGGUGAAAUGCGUAGAUAUCAGAAGGAACGCCGGCGGCGAAAGCGACUCUCUGGCCCGAAACUGACGCUGAGUGUGCGAAAGCUAGGGGAGCAAACGGGAUUAGAUACCCCGGUAGUCCUAGCCGUAAA